rnacentral:rRNA from 1 species
GACGAACGCUGGCGGCGUGCUUAACACAUGCAAGUCGAGCGGUAAGGCCCUUUCGGGGGUACACGAGCGGCGAACGGGUGAGUAACACGUGGGUGACCUGCCCUCAGCUCUGGGAUAAGCCUGGGAAACCGGGUCUAAUACCGGAUAUGACUCCAUGACGCAUGUUGUGGGGUGGAAAGCCUUGUGCGGCUGAGGAUCGGGCCCGCGGCCUAUCAGCUUGUUGGUGGGGUGAUGGCCUACCAAGGCGACGACGGGUAGCCGGCCUGAGAGGGCGACCGGCCACACUGGGACUGAGACACGGCUCAGACUCCGUACGGGAGG